CGAACGGUAGCACAGAGAGCUUGCUCUCGGGUGACGAGUGGCGGACGGGUGAGUAAUGUCUGGGAAACUGCCCGAUGGAGGGGGAUAACUACUGGAACGGUAGCUAAUACCGCAUAAUGUCGCAAGACCAAAGAGGGGGACCUUCGGGCCUCUUGCCAUCGGAUGUGCCCAGAUGGGAUUAGCUUGUAGGUGGGGUAACGGCUCACCUAGGCGACGAUCCCUAGCUGGUCUGAGAGGAUGACCAGCCACACUGGAACUGAGACACGGUCCAGACUCCUACGGGAGGCAGCAGUGGGGAAUAUUGCACAAUGGGCGCAAGCCUGAUGCAGCCCAUGCCGCGUGUAUGAAGAAGGCCUUCGGGUUGUAAAGUACUUUCAGCGAGGAGGAGGGCGUUGUGUUUAAUAACCACAGCGAUUGACGUUACUCGCAGAAGAAGCACCGGCUAACUCCGUGCCAGCAGCCGCGCUCAAU
rnacentral:rRNA from 1 species